AGCGAACGCUGGCGGCAGGCCUAACACAUGCAAGUCGAACGAAGUCUUCGGACUUAGUGGCGGACGGGUGAGUAACACGUGGGAACGUACCUUUUGGUUCGGAACAACUCAGGGAAACUUGAGCUAAUACCGGAUGAGCCCUUAGGGGGAAAGAUUUAUCGCCGAAAGAGCGGCCCGCGUUAGAUUAGCUAGUUGGUGUGGUAAAGGCUCACAAAGGCUACGAUCUAUAGCUGGUCUGAGAGGAUGAUCAGCCACACUGGGACUGAGACACGGCCCAGACUCCUACGGAAGGCAGCAGUGGGGAAUCUUGCGCAAUGGGCGAAAGCUUGACGCAGCCAUGCCGCGUGAAUGAUGAAGGUCUUAGGAUUGUAAAAUUCUUUUACCAGGGACGAUAAUGACGGUACCUGGAGAAAAAGCCCCGGCUAACUUCGUGCCAGCCGCCGCUGUAACAC
rnacentral:rRNA from 1 species